rnacentral:lncRNA from 1 species
GUUCUGACUUCUGGGCAUUAACGGCUUCUGGAGGCCAGCCACUCGGUCCACUUAGAGGGAUAACAAACGUCCAUUAACUGUCAAUAAAGAGGAAAGAGAAAAGAACAGAAAAGGGAGGAUGACCAGUGUAAGACACAUUCUGAAGGAGCGACUGAGAGGAGUCUUGUGGACCUCUGAUUUCUUCUCUAUAAAUGUAAGAUCUCUAAGGCUGCAUGCAGUUAAAUAUGCACCCCAUCCCGUUACAUAUGCAGAACUAUUGCCAUUGGGAGCGAUGAAAACGAUUUCCGCUGUGAUUAAGUUCUAUGUUGGGCAUGAUGUCCAGCAGACAAUCCUGACCUUCCUCUGGGAAACCUCUGUUCUUGCAUUCUCGGUCCACGUUGUUAGCGGCGAGGAAAAGGCACGCACAGCCAUGGGCCGUGACUGGCCUAGCAAAUCAGAGCAUGGCUUCCUGGCUGACCCUGUGAUGGCUUCAGGACUCUGUAAGUGCCCCACGCCCGGCCAAUGGGACCCAGCCCCAGAUUUUGCUGAAACCAUUGGGAAAGACAACCCUCUUUUUGAAGUCGCUGCACCUCCAGCUGAACAAAACCCGGAGUCAUGUUUGCCAUCCCAAAGAAAGCCUGGCUGAAAAUGAAGCCAGCGUCAAAGAAAAUAGAACCAAGAGUUUGAAAGACAAAGACUUGUCUGACGACAGGGUUUGGGGCCCUGAAUCACUCACACCCAGACUUUUCCAACACGAGAGCCACCCUUCCUCAUUCUCUCUCCUACCUAGGCCAUUAGCCCGUGGUUGGAGGUUUUCAACAAAUGUUGACUAAUUUGUUUGCUAAUGAAAUAAAAAUCCUUAGUCACAGGUCACAAGGCAAGGAGGUUGUUCAAAUUCAUCAUUGCAGUGUUUUGGCUAUUCAUUCAAAAAUACAUAACACGUACACAUAUGGAAUCAUGAAGUUUUUUAAUUCAAUCAGCAGAGCAACCAAAAACAUUAAAAUUAGGCACUAUCCAUAAAUUAUUCUUCUUCUUUGUACAAUUCACCAAAUAACUUCCUUACUUGUUACCAAAAACCGUGCAGCUUGAAGGAUGAGUCAUAGUCCGAUUGUCUGACUCUAGCUUAAAAUCUCAGAGCUCAGAGCUCUCUACUCUAUUGUUCCUUACUAUUUGUGAGAUCCGGAAACCGUCACUUACCCUCAGCUCCUGCCUCUGUAAGAAUCGGCUAGAAUAAGGUGUUCAUUAACCAGGUAGAUUUGAGGUUUUCCUCUUGUUCAUAUAGAUUUUUGAAAAUUAAAAGGAUGGCUUCAAGUGAAGAAUUCUUUAUUCUUUUAACAUGCUGCCAUCAUGUGGUUGCUGUGUUCAUUCACAUUCAAAUAUUUCAAAGAUAACAAUGUUUAUAGUGACCCCUCAUUCAGCAAAGUGCAAAGGAAGAAGCCCCAGAAGAAAAUGAAAGGGAAUCGAAUACCUUCUUCCCAGAAGCUUAGUCCAGAGUAUGG